rnacentral:rRNA from 1 species
CGGGUGAGUAACACGUGGGAACGUACCUUUUGGUUCGGAACAACUCAGGGAAACUUGAGCUAAUACCGAAUGUGCCCUUAGGGGGAAAGAUUCAUCGCCAUUAGAGCGGCCCGCGUUAGAUUAGCUUGUUGGUGAGGUAAAGGCUCACCAAGGCUACGAUCUAUAGCUGGUCUGAGAGGAUGAUCAGCCACACUGGGACUGAGACACGGCCCAGACUCCUACGGGAGGCAGCAGUGGGGAAUCUUGCGCAAUGGGCGAAAGCCUGACGCAGCCAUGCCGCGUGAAUGAUGAAGGUCUUAGGAUUGUAAAAUUCUUUCAGUAGGGACGAUAAUGACAGUACCUACAGAAGAAGCCCCGGCUAACUUCGUGCCAGCAGCCGCGGUAAUACGAAGGGGGCUAGCGUUGCUCGGAAUUACU